rnacentral:misc_RNA from 1 species
AACGCACAUUGCGCCCAUUAGUAUUCUAGUGGGCAUGCCUGUUCGAGCGUCAUUUCAACCCUUAAGCCUAGCUUAGUGUUGGGAAUCUGCUGUAUUGCAGUUCCUCAAAUACAACGGCGGAUCUGUAACAUCCUCUGAGCGUAGUAAAUUUUUAUCUCGCUUUUGUUAGGUGUUGCAGCUCUCAGCCGCUAAACCCCCAAAUUUUUGUGGUUGACCUCGGAUCAGGUAGGAAUACCCGCUGAACUUAA